rnacentral:misc_RNA from 1 species
GAUGAAGAACGUAGCGAAAUGCGAUAAGUAAUGCGAAUUGCAGAAUUCAGUGAGUCAUCGAAUCUUUGAACGCACAUUGCGCCCUGUGGUAUUCCGCAGGGCAUGCCUGUUCGAGCGUCAUUUCAACCCUCAAGCCCCGCUUGGUGUUGGGCCCCGCCCGCUGUGGCCGGCCCUAAAGACAGUGGCGGCGCCGCCUGGCCCUCAGCGUAGUACAUCUCUCGCUCCAGGGUCCGGUGGCCGCCUGCCAGAACCCCCCAACUCUGUGGUUGACCUCGGAUCAGGUAGGGAUACCCGCUGAACUUAAGCAUAUCAUAAGCGGAGGA